CAUGUCCUCACAGCUACGGUACUACACCGCCGUAAUGCAGCGAGUACAGGCGCAGGGACUGAGCUCCCGGCCAGCAGGGGCCGCUGCGGGCCCUCAGAGAGGAAAGGAAGGGUGAAGCCAGCUGAAAUGGGCCAAAAAAGCCUACAUGAGAAAGAUCCUUUGGAAAAAGAGCUUGACACAGUAAAUUUCACUCAUCACUAACGCAAUUACAAAUUGGGGUGAUAUACAGAAAGGAGCUGCUUCAUGGAGCCACGUCGGGCCCCAAAUAGGGCUGGGCGAUAUGGCAAAAGAAAAUGUAAUCAGGAUAAACAACCCAUUGUUUCUGAUUGCCUACCUGUGUGGCUGUGUGGAAAUAAAUGUUAUGUUAUUAGUUUCAA